rnacentral:rRNA from 1 species
UACGAAGGGGGCGAGCGUUGUUCGGAUUUACUGGGCGUAAAGGGCUCGUAGGCGGCCAACUAAGUCGGACGUGAAAUCCCCAGGCUCAACCUGGGAACUGCGUCCGAUACUGGAUGGCUUGAAUCCGGGAGAGGGAUGCAGAAUUCCAGGUGUAGCGGUGAAAUGCGUAGAUAUCUGGAGGAAUACCGGUGGCGAAGGCGGCAUCCUGGACCGGCAUUGACGCUGAGGAGCGAAAGCCAGGGGAGCAAACGGG